GCCGCUGUAGCUCAGUUGGUAGAGCAGCUCACUUGUAAUGAGCAGGUCGCCGGUUCGAGUCCGGCCAGCGGCUCCA
rnacentral:tRNA from 1 species